UAGCUUAGUUUCAUACAGGUAUUGACUUUAUCAAACUUUUUUUUACUGCAUUCAAACUCUUUUUGUCAAUUUUGAUGUCAACGGUAUUUACUGACCAAGUUAUUUCAAUAUGAGGUGAUUUUGGAGAAUCUAUGUUCAAGGUUUUGUAAAUUACAAAAUGUAUGCAUAAUGCUAUGAGGCCCAUUACUCAAAUAUGAAUGAGUAGGUACUGAAUGUUUCACUGUCAAUAUAAUAAAACUUUAUAGUGUUGUGUGAAAUAAUCACCAACCAUUAUUUAAAUAAUUAGAAUACAAGAAAAUUAUUAAGACUAUGUUAUGGGAACUCAGAGAUUUAUGUAACAAUUUUGGACUUUAGGAAUUAUCACCCAUAGAAAAAAAGGGAGUUCUUCAUUUUGUUGGCAAAGUACCAAUUGACGUAUUUAUACUUCUCACUCACGAUGGUACAUAUGAAUAAAUAUAUAUUGGUCUGGAACACGUGACUGAUAAUAUCACAAAUUGCGUGACAUGAAUAAAGACAAGACAUGAGUCACAAUUAUUAAUUAAGUUAAUCAUUGUAUUCUAGUUUAAAGGUUUUCCAUUAUAAAGUUUCGAUCGAUCUUGAUUAGCUUUUUUGAAGGUUGAAAUAAGACGUCCAUGAUGGUGACGCGAAUACGUAAUUUAAAUGAACAGUAUAGUUAUUUAAAACAAAUAAUAAUAAUAAAAAUAAGCCCCGCAGGGCAUCUGAGGCGGAUGACGGGGAGUAGCGACCCCGCGGGGCUAUAUAUCCGAGUGCUCCAGGGAGAGUAUACUGUCCCCCAUCUCCGGCUUGCCGGAGUGAAGCAUGACGGGGGAUAGGUCUCCCGCCUCUUGGCUUGCCUUCAUCGGCCGGUCAGAGUGGAGUCGCUAGAGCAAGGUUAGUCCUGCUCGGAGGGUAGGUGCCUCGUGGUAAGUGGCGAGUGGGCCGGUGAUGCUGGACCCACAGGGAGCGCGUGAUCUGCGUUUAAAGUCCGCCGAGGUAUCCUCACCCUUCUCAGCCGCUCAUGUCCCUGUUGCCCUCUAGUCGCUUUUCAGUGACUGAUUCCCGGGGGCCCAGUAAGUGAGUUGGCGAGUCUCCACCUGCCAUUUUAACAUGUAUUUAAUACAUUGUCAUCGGCAGGUGCCAUAGUUCCCGUAGUUUCCCCAUUCCUAGUCCACUAGCAUCCCAUCACAAUAGCCCAAGUAGUUUUCAUCCAUAGUUAGCAAUAGUUUAGUACAGAACCGGGGAUUGUCCUUGGGUACAUUUCUAUAGUGUAUACAGGGAUAAUCGUCGGUUUUGUGUCACCAUUUCAUUAAAGUUGUCUCAAAAGGGCUUCAGCGUGUUGGCUUCGGCCCCACGUUCGCCUCCCAAAAAUCCGGGACUCUGUAGUCCCGAGGUCUGGUAGAGACAUACAAAAUAAAAAUAAAAAAAUAAA
rnacentral:lncRNA from 1 species